rnacentral:rRNA from 1 species
UACAGAGGGGGCAAGCGUUGUUCGGAAUUACUGGGCGUAAAGGGCGCGCAGGCGGUCGUUCAAGUCGCGUGUGAAAGCCCCCGGCUCAACUGGGGAGGGUCACGCGAUACUGAUCGACUGGAAGGCAGGAGAGGGUAGUGGAAUUCCCGGUGUAGUGGUGAAAUGCGUAGAUAUCGGGAGGAACACCAGUGGCGAAGGCGACUACCUGGCCUGUUCUUGACGCUGAGGCGCGAAAGCUAGGGGAGCAAACGGG